UACCUACUGGCAAUGGGAAAAGAGACACCUUGUUGGUGGUGGUGUUCUUAUGUCAGUCAGCGGCAGAGCAGAUGGCAGCCUUUUCUUUAUCCUACCUUGAUUUGUGGCUUGAGGGCCUAACCUGUCUUAUGCCUAGGACUCAUAA